rnacentral:rRNA from 1 species
CAGGCCUAACACAUGCAAGUCGAACGGAAAGGCCUUUUCGGAGGUACUCGAGUGGCGAACGGGUGAGUAACACGUGGGUGAUCUGCCCUGCACUCUGGGAUAAGCCUGGGAAACUGGGUCUAAUACCGGAUAGGACUGCACUUUAGUGUGUGUGGUGGAAAGUUUUUUCGGUGUAGGAUGAGCCCGCGGCCUAUCAGCUUGUUGGUGGGGUAAUGGCCUACCAAGGCGGCGACGGGUAGCCGGACUGAGAGGUUGGUCGGCCACAUUGGGACUGAGAUACGGCCCAGACUCCUACGGGAGGCAGCAGUGGGGAAUAUUGCACAAUGGGCGCAAGCCUGAUGCAGCGACGCCGCGUGGGGGAUGACGGCCUUCGGGUUGUAAACUCCUUUCGCCAGGGACGAAGCGUUUUGUGACGGUACCUGGAGAAGAAGCACCGGCUAACUACGUGCCAGCAGCCGCGGUAAU